rnacentral:rRNA from 1 species
GAUGAACGCUGGCGGCGUGCCUAAUACAUGCAAGUCGAGCGAAUGGAUUGAGAGCUUGCUCUUAUGAAGUUAGCGGCGGACGGGUGAGUAACACGUGGGUAACCUGCCCAUAAGACUGGGAUAACUCCGGGAAACCGGGGCUAAUACCGGAUAACAUUUUGAACCGCAUGGUUCGAAAUUGAAAGGCGGCUUCGGCUGUCACUUAUGGAUGGACCCGCGUCGCAUUAGCUAGUUGGUGAGGUAACGGCUCACCAAGGCAAUGAUGCGUAGCCGACCUGAGAGGGUGAUCGGCCACACUGGGACUGAGACACGGCCCAGACUCCGACGGGAGGCAGCAGUAGGGAAUCUUCCGCAAUGGACGAAAGUCUGACGGAGCAACGCCGCGUGAGUGAGGAAGGCUUUCGGGUCGUAAAACUCUGUUGUUAGGGAAGAACAAGUGCUAGUUGAAUAAGCUGGCACCUUGACGGUACCUAACCAGAAAGCCACGGCUAACUACGUGCCAGCCGCCGCUGUAA